GUGGGGAAUUUUGGACAAUGGGGGCAACCCUGAUCCAGCCAUGCCGCGUGCGGGAAGAAGGCCUUCGGGUUGUAAACCGCUUUUGUCAGGGAAGAAAUCCUUUGGGUUAAUACCUCGGAGGGAUGACGGUACCUGAAGAAUAAGCACCGGCUAACUACGUGCCAGCAGCCGCGGUAAUACGUAGGGUGCGAGCGUUAAUCGGAAUUACUGGGCGUAAAGCGUGCGCAGGCGGUUUUGUAAGAUCGAUGUGAAAUCCCCGGGCUCAACCUGGGAACUGCAUUGGUGACUGCAAGGCUGGAGUGUGGCAGAGGGGGAUGGAAUUCCGCGUGUAGCAGUGAAAUGCGUAGAUAUUGGGAAGAACACCGGUGGCGAAGGCGACCACCUGGCUCGGUUCUGACGCUGAGGCGCGACAGCGUGGGGAGCAAACAGGAUUAGAUACCCGUGUAGUCC
rnacentral:rRNA from 1 species